rnacentral:tRNA from 1 species
UUUAGGGUGGCAGAGCCCGGUAAUUGCGUAAAACUUAAACCUUUAUUCCCAGAGGUUCAACUCCUCUUCCUAACA